UACAGAGGUCUCAAGCGUUGUUCGGAUUCAUUGGGCGUAAAGGGUGUGUAGGUGGCGAGGCAAGUCAGAUGUGAAAUCCCGGGGCUCAACCCCGGAACUGCAUUUGAAACUGCCUUGCUCGAGUACUGGAGAGGAGACUGGAAUUUACGGUGUAGCAGUGAAAUGCGUAGAUAUCGUAAGGAAGACCAGUGGCGAAGGCGAGUCUCUGGACAGUUACUGACACUGAGGCACGAAGGCCAGGGGAGCAAACGGG
rnacentral:rRNA from 1 species